GACGAACGCUGGCGGCGUGCUUAACACAUGCAAGUCGAACGGAAAGGCCCUGCUUUUGUGGGGUGCUCGAGUGGCGAACGGGUGAGUAACACGUGAGUAACCUGCCCUUGACUUUGGGAUAACUUCAGGAAACUGGGGCUAAUACCGGAUAGGAGCUCCUGCUGCAUGUUGGGGGUUGGAAAGUUUCGGCGGUUGGGGAUGGACUCGCGGCUUAUCAGCUUGUUGGUGGGGUAGUGGCUUACCAAGGCUUUGACGGGUAGCCCGCCUGGGAGGGUGACCGGCCACAUUGGGACUGAGAUACGGCCCAGACUCCUACGGGAGGCAGCAGUGGGGAAUAUUGCACAAUGGGCGGAAGCCUGAUACAGCAACGCCGCGUGCGGGAUGACGGCCUUCGGGUUGUAAACCGCUUUCGCCUGUGACGAAGCGUGAGUGACGGUAAUGGGUAAAGAAGCACCGGCUAACUACGUG
rnacentral:rRNA from 1 species